AUUGGGGCUUCCAACUGGCAAAGCAGGCAGGGACGAUCACCAUAAUUAUCCCCUUUGAUCAUAAUUAUUACCCUUUGAUCCCUGGAGCAGUGGGCUGCAGUGCCUCUGGUGAGCUUUUGUCUUCCCCACAGAGGGGUGGCAGAAGAUUGUGAGUAUAGCCUGAUUAUGAAGAUGAAAUCAAGAACAGAUGUCAAAGCAUAUACUUCAUCUCUGGUCAAGUGAUUCCUCGAGGUGGAUUCCUCAAGAUUCAUCUUGAGAUGAUCCAUUUGGCUGAAUCAGCCACAGUGGCUUUGGAGCUCAGUGGCUGAAGAGUGGAUCCAAUAUUUAUUUGCAGGUUUUUGGAAGUUUUGGGCCGUGCAAAUAAAUGGGUUCUUUUGUCAAUGGUGCUGAUUCCCAAUGAUGCAGAACUAGAUGUUACCCAAAAUAAAGAGU